rnacentral:rRNA from 1 species
AGGCAGCAGUAGGGAAUCUUCCGCAAUGGACGAAAGUCUGACGGAGCGACGCCGCGUGAGCGAAGAAGGUCUUCGGAUCGUAAAGCUCUGUUGUUAGGGAAGAAGAAGUGCCGUUCGAACAGGGCGGCACGGUGACGGUACCUAACGAGAAAGCCCCGGCUAACUACGUGCCAGCAGCCGCGGUAAU